GAUGAAUGCUGGCGGCGUGCCUAACACAUGCAAGUCGAGCGGCAGCGCGGUCUUCGGACUGGCGGCGAGCGGCGGACGGCUGAGUAACGCGUGGGAACGUACCCCAAAGUGAGGAAUAACUGCCCGAAAGGGUAGCUAAUGCUGCAUAUGGUCUUCGGAUUAAAGGAUUUAUCCGCUUUGGGAACGGCCUGCGUACGAUUAGAUUGUUGGUGAGGUAAUGGCUCACCAAGUCGACGAUCGUUAACUGGUCUGAGAGGAUGAUCAGUCAGACUGGAACUGAGACACGGUCCAGACUCCUACGGGAGGCAGCAGUGAGGAAUCUUCCACAAUGGGCGAAAGCCUGAUGGAGCAACGCCGCGUGCAGGAUGAAGGCCUUCGGGUCGUAAACUGCUUUUAUAAGUGAAGGAUAUGACGGUAACUUAUGAAUAAGCACCGGCUAACUACGUGCCAGCAGCCGCGGUA
rnacentral:rRNA from 1 species